CCGUGGCUUGCACUAACUGCAUUCCCUCGCUUGGACCGGUGGCGGAGGGGACCGGGAGAUGAAAUGAAGAGCUGUUCUUUACCCAGGACCCCGGACCAAGGCACUCCUCCCAGGCGAACACAGCUGCCGGCUCCUCCUCCUCCCUCUCCCCUGCCUCCAACCUCAGCCCUGAUCCGCUAAGCUGAGCGCUCCUCUCAGCAACCAACAACUAGACCGCCGGCAACAAAUCUAAGUGGGGAAUUCCACCCCCCCCAGCCCCCUCUUUCUAGCUCCUCCACCCCCCUCCCCCGAUCCACCAAUUAGCUCAGCGGAGAGGGGGCAAAUCGGUCCAAUGAAGAGCCAGAAAACCCAGCCAGUCCCGGAGGGUUCAGCCAAUAGAGGGGGACUUGGGCAACAGAUCCGCCCCCUUUUCCAUUAGGAGUGAAGCUAACUGUGGCCAGUGGUGCUAUCCCGCCCUGGAGUGAGAACUGAGAGCCAGAAAGGUGUGGGGUUAAAGGGGUUUUAGAUCUAGCCAGUCAGAUACAACGUUUAUGAAUGUAUACUAAAGUGUGAACGCGGGAGGCAUCUCACAAGUUUUCUCACUUUUCCCUUCCCUGACCCUCCUCUUUUCCCCAAAGUCAAACGCCAUCUCUGGGAAAAGUUCUAAUAUGAAGAAUCCCUGCAAGAAACAUGUCGAAGGCACCAAUUUGUUAUCCUUUUUUAAGCAACUAAAUACUAACUUUUCUCG